UACGGAGGGGGCUAGCGUUGUUCGGAAUUACUGGGCGUAAAGCGCGCGUAGGCGGCUUUGUAAGUUAGAGGUGAAAGCCCGGAGCUCAACUCCGGAACUGCCUUUAAGACUGCAUCGCUAGAAUUGUGGAGAGGUGAGUGGAAUUCCGAGUGUAGAGGUGAAAUUCGUAGAUAUUCGGAAGAAACACCAGUGGCGAAGGCGACUCACUGGACACAUAUUGACGCUGAGGUGCGAAAGCGUGGGGAGCAAACAGG
rnacentral:rRNA from 1 species